rnacentral:lncRNA from 1 species
GGCGGGGGCCGGGCCGGGCCGGCGGCGGGGGGCUCGCUCGCCCUCCCUGCCGGAAUGAGCGCCGCAGGGCGGGGCGGCAGCGGCCGCGCAGGACGCGGGGCGGCGCUGCGCUCCUCUUGUGUCCGGAGACAACGGCAGCGACAGCGACAGCGGCGGCGGCUGGCGGGGUCAGCGCCCAGGGACGCUGCCCUUCCUCCAUCCCCCUCGUCCCGCUCCGAGCCAGCUGUCUGCAUUGCAAUGAGACGAGAUUACUACAGUUCUAGAACUACCCACUAAGGAGUUUUAGUGUACACCCAUCCAUCUGCUUAAGAGUGAAAAGCUUGUGCUGCAAGCUGAUCGCCUAAGAACAUGGAAUAUAAUAUGGAUGCAGAUGCUUGAACAUAAUUUCUUCUGUACUCUGCAGAUUGGUAGCUUGAAUCAUUGAUUGAUAAGAAAUUAUACACAGGACUAAUACCAAGGAAAUAUUCUGUCUGUUCAUGUUGGGUUUAAUGAAAAUGAU